UUGCGUAGGUGGUCAAGUAAGCAAGAUAUGAAAUCGUACGGCUCAACCGUAUAAACGUAUUUUGAACUGCUAGACUAGAGGGCGAGAGAGGUUACUAGAAUUUCUUGUGUAGGAGUGAAAUCCGUAGAUAUAAGAAGGAAUACCGAUGGCGUAGGCAGGUAACUGGCUCGCACCUGACACUAAGGCACGAAAGCGUGGGGAGCAAACG
rnacentral:rRNA from 1 species